CACCUGAUUCCAUCCCGAACUCAGAAGUGAAACGAAACAGCGUCGAUGGUAGUGUGGGGUUUCCCCAUGUGAGAGUAGAACAUCGCCAGGCU
rnacentral:rRNA from 1 species